ACGAUCGAACAAUUGAGGUAGGAGCGAGCAGCAGUUUAAAACACAGAUUUGUUUAAUAGACAAUUUUGUUGCGCUGAUUUACCGAUAGAUGGCAGUCACUACCUACCUAGAAACUAGAGGUAAACAUCAACAUCAGAGAUACUAUUGUGAACUAGGAGCAGUACAUCGAAACAAGCAUAUCACACCUGCAACGAUGGAUACUAUACUUUUGUCGCGACUCGAUCAACCACUGCAUUCCUCUGGAUGAGCGCUGCAGCAAUGACACAAACUGCUUCACUGAUAUACCACAGAUGAGAUAUGUUCUGCUCUGAAUACGCAUGGCCGAUUUCUGCAAGAACGGCGGAAAUUACACCGUUAACGAAUACGGUCUGAUUUGCUCGUGCCCACCAGAAGUUGGUGGAAACAGGUGUCAACAUGCAAUUUAUCCGACUGAGGCACCAACACACCAUACCAACUGGCUAGUCGGCGUCAUCAUCACAGGAUCACUGUUGGCCUUGUUGCUUAUCAUAGCAGCCGUCUACGACUUCUGUUCCGCCAGAAACAGAGAAGGUUUGGAUUGUUGCCGUUCUUGCCACCACUGCUUGUAUUGUAGUAAUGGAGGGGCUCCAUGAAUGCCCAGAAUGUGGGCUGAAGUUUGGUGUUAAAUCAAACCUCACCAAACACCGCACGAUUCACGAGGAGAGGGGGUUUAAGUGCGAGCAAUGCGGGAGCCGGUUUACGCUGAAGCACCAUCUCGACCGGCAUGCCAAGCUCCACUUUUACCCCAAGAUUCCUCUGUAUCGAGACGGAGAGGCACAGAUGAGGAACACCAAGGAGGGCGAUCGCGUCUGGAAGAUGGAUGACAAGCAAAAGGUGGUUGACAAGGUCUGGAGCGACCCUAAGGCUUGCAGAGAGGGAGGCGAAGAAGUGUGGCCAAGAGCUGUGGAGAACAAAAAUAGUCAUCACAUUAACAUGUUUUUAGUGUAAUACUAUGCAGUGCCAAAUGUUGUAUUCAUGAAUUUGCAUCUUACAGGGAUGGCAAAUAUUGGUGUUUUUGCAGUGCCAAUAUUUGUACAUUAUUCACAAAUUUGAAAACAUCAGCUAUUGCCGUUUGUAUGUCUGCUUAUAAGAUAAUUAACUGUGUAGUUUAUAAAAACGAUCUUUAUAUUCAUAUGUUUACACAUGUCACAAGAGUUGUCAUUUUUAGAUCUGCAUGAUAUUGAUUGUAUUCAAUGCAGAGUUAUGUGCCAUGAAUUGCCAGAUGAAGCCAAACAUUUCAACUCGAGCUGAAUUAGUUUUGACAAAUUAACUGUCGUACAUUAUGUGUGCUAAAUGAUCUGUGCGGUAGUCAGAGCAUGGUUUUUGCUUAAACUCAUGAACUGAUAUAUGUUGAACUGAUUAACAUGUUUUUAGUGUAAUACUAUGCAGCGCCAAAUGUUGUAUUCAUGAAUUUGCAUCUUACAGAGAUGGCAAAUAUUGCAGUUUUUAUGUGUAUUUUGAAAUAAGUAAAAAUGUUCAUAUUUCAUAUAGAAAUAUUAUCUUAUUGUGUGAUAUGAUGUAACUAAAACGUUCAGAGACUUAUACGCUAUUUCUAUUGUGCUUUGCAGUAUUUACCAAACAACUCUUCUGCUUUUUUAAUAUUCUGCCGUUCUUCAGUUGCAAUGACUGACAGGGAUUUAUGCACUAUUGUGCUAUCCAGUAUUUACAAAACAACUCUUUCCUUUUCUUUUCUUUUCUUUUUGCAAUCGUUGGGUUGCAGGAAUAACUGACAGAGUAAAUACAUUUAAUUUUUAUGAACUAGUUUUUUAAUGUUUCAAUGUAUUGAAACUUUCAUUAUGAUAUCAUUGUGUGUGAAAAGGAUACAUUAUAUCUCGGUUACUUUUAUCUUCAACUUGAUCGUUUUAAAAUAAAAAUUAAACCAAAAUAGACGCGCACAAAACAUAAGAAAAUAAACAACAAAAACAAACAUGAAACGGUCUAGAUUUAGGACACACCCGCGCACAAGCAGACGACACUUUCACACUCCGCAGAGGGCCGGCGUCCUGAUCACCACGAAGGUGGUGGUGAUCGAGCUUCUCAACGACCUCAGACUAGUACCCAGGGGGGUCGUGGCCCAUUCCCAGGCGGUCACCCAUCCAAGUACUAAUCGGGCCCGACGCUGCUUAACUUCGGUGAUCGGACGAGAACCAGUGCUUUCAGCAUGGUAUGGCCGUAGACAGAAUAUUGUGCUUCACAGACGAUCACUAUCACAGGCACUAUUUACAUAUGUGUCAGUGUGUGGCAUCGUGCAUGCGCUGUAUGUGUUGCAGAGGAGCAUU